GAUGAACGCUGGCGGCGUGCCUAAUACAUGCAAGUCGAGCGAACAGACGAGGAGCUUGCUCCUCUGACGUUAGCGGCGGACGGGUGAGUAACACGUGGCUAACCUACCUAUAAGACUGGGAUAACUUCGGGAAACCGGAGCUAAUACCGGAUAAUAUAUUGAACCUCAUGGUUCAAUAGUGAAAGACGGUUUUGCUGUCACUUAUAGAUGGAUCCGCGCCGCAUUAGCUAGUUGGUAAGGUAACGGCUUACCAAGGCAACGAUGCGUAGCCGACCUGAGAGGGUGAUCAGCCACACUGGAACUGAGACACGGUCCAGACUCCUACGGGAGGCAGCAGUAGGGAAUCUUCCGCAAUGGGCGAAAGCCUGACGGAGCAACGCCGCGUGAGUGAUGAAGGUCUUCGGAUCGUAAAACUCUGUUAUUAGGGAAGAACAAAUGUGUAAGUAACUAUGCACGUCUUGACGGUACCUAAUCAGAAAGCCACGGCUAACUACGUG
rnacentral:rRNA from 1 species